GCUACAGGCUUAACACAUGCAAGUCGAGGGGUAGCAGGGUAGCAAUACCGCUGACGACCGGCGCACGGGUGAGUAACACGUAUCCAACCUUCCCAUAACUCGGGGAUAGCCUUUCGAAAGAAAGAUUAAUACCCGAUAGUACUUAAGAAAGGCAUCUUUUUUAAGUUAAAGGUUUAUUGGUUAUGGAUGGGGAUGCGUUCCAUUAGAUAGUUGGUGAGGUAACGGCUCACCAAGUCUUCGAUGGAUAGGGGUUCUGAGAGGAAGGUCCCCCACAUUGGUACUGAGACACGGACCAAACUCCUACGGGAGGCAGCAGUGAGGAAUAUUGGUCAAUGGGCGAGAGCCUGAACCAGCCAAGUAGCGUGAAGGAUGACGG
rnacentral:rRNA from 1 species